rnacentral:rRNA from 1 species
ACGCUCGACACCUACGGGAGGCAGCAGUGGGGAAUAUUGCACAAUGGGGGGAACCCUGAUGCAGCGACGCCGCGUGAGGGAAGAAGGUUUUCGGAUUGUAAACCUCUGUCCUUGGUGACGAUAAUGACGGUAGCCAAGGAGGAAGCCACGGCUAACUACGUGCUAGCAGCCGCGGUAAUCUGAGCGGGCUGGCAAGGC